AGAGAAUCGCUUGAACCCGGGAGCUGGAGGUUGCAGUGAGCUGAGAUCGCACCAUUGUACACCAGCCUGGGGGACAGAG
rnacentral:snRNA from 1 species